AGCGAUAGCUGGUUUCUCAAGAAAAGAAUUUAGUCCAACAUAAAAUGAUAUCAAACAAUUUAAUUGCCCCCAUCAUUUUAGAGCAAUUCAAAUGAGGUACAGCCCAUUUGAUUCAGGAUUCAACCUUCACUAACGGGUAACAUAUUCCCCCCCACCCCAAGUAGGCCUAACAGCAGCCACCUUUAAAAAAGCGUCAAAGCUUAACUCUGUGGAUCCAAUUUUUAAAUUUAUAUCGAGCCCUUUUUUAAUAGUGAGAACCUCUAUAGCCCUAUAGAGCUUUUUAUGCUAAGACUAGUAACAAGAGCUAACCACUCUCCUAAAUGCAAAUUUAAUCCAGCAAGAACUAAUCACUGGUAUUUAACGGAAAAGACAAGUUAGAAACUCACACUAGAAAAUCCUAACAAACCCCCCCCGUUAACCUAACACUAGAGCAUUACUGGAAAGAUUAAAAGAAAAAGAAGGAACUCGGCAAACAAUGGCCUCGCCUGUUUACCAAAAACAUCGCCUCUUGUUACCCCUAAGAGGUCCCGCCUGCCCAGUGACUCUGUUCAACGGCCGCGGUAUCCUAACCGUGCAAAGGUAGCGUAAUCACUUGUCUUUUAAAUAAGGACUAGUAUGAAAGGCGCCACGAGGGCUAAGCUGUCUCCUUUUUCUAAUCAGUGAAUCUGAUCCCCCUGUGAAGAAGCA
rnacentral:rRNA from 1 species